GUGCUUGCUUUGGCAGCACAUAUACUAAAACUUGAACAAUACAGAGAAGAUUAGCAUGGCCCCUGCGCAAAUUCAUGAAGCAUUCUAUAUUUUA
ensembl:snRNA U6 U6 spliceosomal RNA